CUAUAGAUGUGUUCGGGAUAUCAUUGUUUGACAGUAAAGAAUUUUUUUUGCUCUCACAAUAUUUGAUUAAUAUUAAUUUCUUCUUUAUUUAAAUAAAGUGUACUCUUAUAAUUCUUACAAUAAAAAAUGGAUUUGUUAGGAUCCAUAUUAAACUCUAUGGAUAAACCUCCUACAAUAAGCGAUAAGCAAAAAGCAUUAUUAAAAAAGCAACGUGAAGAACAUCAAAAACAACAAAAGGCAGAAGCUGAAAGACUGAAAAAGUUCAGAGAACAAGUGGAAGAAAGAGUAAAUAAAUUUUUGAAGAAUGAUUUGGCUAAAGAAUAUAAAUUUCCUCCUAUGGAUCAAGUUCACAGAAGUAUUGUACAUGAUGUAGCAGAAGUAGCGAGUGUUCUUGCUCACUCAUUCGGAGAAGAAGGGGUGGAUAGGCACAUAAUGAUUUUCAAGAAAGAGCACCCCCCUUCAGAAGAUCAAAUAAGCGUUUUACGUCGGGGAGAAGAAUGGAAUGAUGAAGUUGCUAAGAGGAUAAAAGAAGAAAGGGAACAACAAGCUAAAGAACUGGAAGAAGAUCUCAAAUCUCGAAAACGUAAGAAAGAAUUUGUUCCAAAUUUUGAUUACAAAGAAAAAUACGAACAUUUAAUUGGAAAAGAAUCAGCUCUGGAAGCUGCCAGAAAGACUGAAGCUAGUAGUAUUUACGGAUUCGUACCUAGCGAAAAUAAAAAAGACCAAAGAAGUAUAGAACAAACUCUAGCAGAUAUAAGAGCAAGGAAGAAGUUGAAAGCAAUUCACGAACAAGCAAGUCUUCAAAAAAAUGAGCUUUCCGAUCAAUCAACAACUUAAUAAAUAAUUCAUCAGUAUUAUUAUCAUUAGAUUAUUUGUAAAUAUCUAACAAUUGAGAUGUUGUUAACAUACAAAAAAGCAAAGAUGCAAUAGCAACUCAUAUAUAUUCACUGUUCGAGUAUUUAGGAACUGAAGUUCUAGGCGCGGGCUUUGGUUUAUUGAUAGCUGUUGGUUGAAUAAUUAUUUGUCUUUUCAAUCCAACCAGCUUCGUAAACUCUUGCCCUAUUGUACUUUUGUAGAGUUCUAAACCACGUUCAAUAAUUAUGUCACGAACAUAUGUUGCAUUAUCUUGCACUAAUUUUCUCUAAAAAAGAAAAUUUAUAAAAUAAAUUAAUUUGAUGUAUUAAAAA